rnacentral:rRNA from 1 species
AGCUCCAAUAGCGUAUAUUAAAAUUGUUGCGGUUAAACGCUCGUAGUUGGAUAUCUGCCAAGGGGUUUCGGUCCUUCCCAGUGAAGAAUACACGAGACUCCUCUUGGCAUUUAUUCAGGGAUUAUGUAUGCACUUUAUUGUGUGUCGUGAGAUCUGGAUUUUUACUUUGAGGAAAUGAGAGUGUUUCAAGCAGGCUUUUGCCGUGAAUAUGAUAGCAUGGAAUAAUAGCACAGGACCCUUUCCAAAGCUGUUGGUUUUGGGACGAGGUAAUCAGAAUAAGGAUAGUUGGGGGUAUUCGUAUUUAACUGUCAGAG